rnacentral:rRNA from 1 species
UACGUAGGGUGCAAGCGUUAAUCGGAAUUACUGGGCGUAAAGCGUGCGCAGGCGGCUUGCAAGACAUGAUGUGAAAUCCCCGGGCUUAACCUGGGAACUGCAUUUGUGACUGCAUGGCUGGAGUGCGGCAGAGGGGGAUGGAAUUCCGCGUGUAGCAGUGAAAUGCGUAGAUAUGCGGAGGAACACCGAUGGCGAAGGCAAUCCCCUGGGCCUGCACUGACGCUCAUGCACGAAAGGCGUGGGGAGCAAACAGG